rnacentral:rRNA from 1 species
CUCGGUAAUUUACUGGAAAUAACCCUUUCCUUGGGUUUCCGUAGGGGAUCCUGCUAAAGGAUCAAUG